CCGGUUCAGUACGCCGAAAGCUCUCGAGGAGUACAGACGUGUUACAUUUACCUAUAUUUAAGUGUUUGUUACACCUAAUUCAAUAAUUUCGUGUUGUUUAAUUUAAUAUUCGUUUCUCAGUUUCUCGUGUCUCUUAAAACAUUUUUACAUUUUUUUUUUGGUUAAUAAAAAGUGAUCUCCAAAUUAUAAUUUUCACAUAUUUUCACAUCCCAGCUGGUGCAAAAGCUUCGUGGCUUUUGAGGUAGACAAACCUGAUCAGGAGUUCCAAUCUUCUCUGUGGAAGAAAGUCAAAAGAAUGACAGAGUCACAUGACUUUAUUGAUGGCGACACCCUGGGCACUGGUGGAAAUCCGGAUGACUUGCGACCUAUUGAAAGAAAACCUGAGCUAUCGGAGUCAGACGGAACAAUAAUCGGUGACGAUGAUAAUUUUACAAGACAGAACAGUAAUGAUUCGGGCAGCGACUCUGGCAAUGGCGAAACGAGCAAUUUGAUUGACGACUGUGAUGAUUGUUCGAUAAUUCCACUUUCGAAUUAAAAUAGUCGUUUCGCUGACUAAGUGCCGCCUUCUCAUCGGGAUGUUACUGACAACUCUUUGGAAAACUCAAUAUUA